rnacentral:misc_RNA from 1 species
GAUGAAGAACGCAGCAAAAUGCGAUAAGUAAUGUGAAUUGCAGAAUUCAGUGAAUCAUCGAAUCUUUGAACGCACAUUGCGCCCGCCAGUAUUCUGGCGGGCAUGCCUGUUCGAGCGUCAUUUCAACCCUCAAGCACAGCUUGGUGUUGGGACUCGCGUUAAUUCGCGUUCCUCAAAUUGAUUGGCGGUCACGUCGAGCUUCCAUAGCGUAGUAGUAAAACCCUCGUUACUGGUAAUCGUCGCGGCCACGCCGUUGAACCCCAACUUCUGAAUGUUGACCUCGGAUCAGGUAGGAAUACCCGCUGAACUUAAGCAUAUCAAUAAGCGGAGGA